rnacentral:tRNA from 1 species
GGUCGGUUAGCUCAGUUGGCAGAGCAUCUCAUUUACUCUGAGAAGGCCAUAGGUUCAAGCCCUAUACUGACCA